AGUCUACUCUAAAUAUAUAGUAAUUAAUUAGUUGGGUUUUCUUUGAGGUUUAAUUUAUUCAGUGAAAUUACAAUUUUUUUUUGCACGAAUGACACUUGACAGUUGACUUUUAAUAACAAUUGACAUUUAACAGAGUUUUACUAUAUGCGGUUUUAUAUAAUAAAUAAAAUGUUAAAUGUUUAUAAAAUUACUUACUUAAAUACAAGGACGUUUAAAAAUUUUGGCCAUAAAAGACAACCUGUGUCUAUGUUUACGACAUUGUGGCAUGGUUUUUUAACAUUCACUUUCAUUGGUCUGGGAAUUAAUUGGAAAAGUGUAACUAAAUACUUACAUGGUGAAUCCAGUGAAGAAAUGAAAUCGCCCUUAGAAUAACAUUUAGAAUGAAUUGUAUAAGUUAUUUAAUUUUAAGUGUUAUAUAUAUAAUUGAAUAGUUUAUAUUAUAUUUUCCAUGUGAAGACACUGAUAAUUAAAAACAUAUUUUGGCUUUAUCAUUUAAUUUCUUAUUCUAUUAAAGAAAAGUUCUUGCAGAAUUUUUGUUGUUACCUUUCACUUUAAUGCAUGAUAAAAAAUUCAUGUUAAAUAUAAAAAAAACAUAUUAUAAAGCCAAAGGAAGUUUUAAUUUAAAAUAUGCUUGACGGAGUUAGUUUUGCUAUUUGUAACUUGUAACUGAUAGACACUUUGUUCUUGUCUUCCCAAUGAUCAGGGUUUCUGUAAAGGAAACGAAAAUAACAAGAUUAUAUAGUAACAAAAUAGUAAAAAUGUGUAGUAAAACCAUUAAUUUUGGUCUGCAUGUACAGGAUACAUACAGGAAUAUGUAUGUAAUAUUAAGAAAAACCAAGUCUUGAUCAAAUUAAAGACCUGCCGGUGGUUUAGGUAGAAAAAGUCAAAGAUAUGUAAUAAUAUAGUGUUAGUGAUGUAAUGAAUAGUCACAUAUUAUUGCAUAUCGCAUUCGUGAAGUUAUUUCGAGUAUGAUGAAAUUGUAUAAUACUUGGUUAAUAAAAGAAUAUCUAUUAGUUUGUUA